UGGGGAAUUUUGGACAAUGGGGGAAACCCUGAUCCAGCCAUCCCGCGUGUGCGAUGAAGGCCUUCGGGUUGUAAAGCACUUUUGGCAGGAAAGAAACGUCGCGGGUUAAUACCCCGCGAAACUGACGGUACCUGCAGAAUAAGCACCGGCUAACUACGUGCCAGCAGCCGCGGUAAUACGUAGGGUGCAAGCGUUAAUCGGAAUUACUGGGCGUAAAGCGUGCGCAGGCGGUUCGGAAAGAAAGAUGUGAAAUCCCGGAGCUUAACUUUGGAACUGCAUUUUUAACUACCGGGCUAGAGUGUGUCAGAGGGAGGUGGAAUUCCGCGUGUAGCAGUGAAAUGCGUAGAUAUGCGGAGGAACACCGAUGGCGAAGGCAGCCUCCUGGGAUAACACUGACGCUCAUGCACGAAAGCGUGGGGAGCAAACGGGAUUAGAUACCCUGGUAGUCCACGCCCUAAACGAUGUCAACUAGCUGUUGGGGCCUUCGGGCCUUGGUAGCGCAGCUAACGCGUGAAGUUGACCGCCUGGGGAGUACGGUCGCAAGAUUAAAACUUAAAUG
rnacentral:rRNA from 1 species